rnacentral:tRNA from 1 species
GGGCCCGUGGGGUAGCUUUGGUAUCCUUGUGGCUUCGGGAGCCAUUGACCUGGGUUCAAAUCCCAGCGGGCCCA